CCUACGGUGAGCAGCAGUGAGGAAUAUUGGUCAAUGGCCGGAAGGCUGAACAAGCCAUGCCGCGUGAAGGUCAGUGCCCUAUGGGCGUUAAACUUCUUUUGUGCGGGAGCAAUCAUGGUCACGUGUGGCCAGACGAGAGUACCGUACGACUACGCCUCGGCUAACUCCGUGCCAUCAGCCGCGGUAAUACGGGGGAUGCAAGCGUUCUCCGGAUUAAUUGGGUUUACAGGGUGCGUAGGCUGUGAGGUAAGUCAGCGGUGAAAUGCCCCCGCUCAACGGGGUGAAGGGCCAUUGAUACUGCCUUGCUGGAAUGCGGAUGCCGUGGGAGGAAUGUGUGGUGUAGCGGUGAAAUGCAUAGAUAUCACACAGAACACCGAUUGCGAAGGCAUCUCACGAAUCCGCGAUUGACGCUGAUGCACGAAAGCGUGGGUAUCAAACAGGAUUAGAUACCCUCGUAGUC
rnacentral:rRNA from 1 species